rnacentral:rRNA from 1 species
UACCUGCAGCUCGAGUGGUAACCGCUUUUAUUGGGCCUAAAGCGUCCGUAGCCGGUUUGGUAAAUAUCUGGGUAAAUCGUGAGGCUUAACUUCACGAAUUUCGGAUAGACUGCCAGACUUGGGAUCGGGGGAGGUCAGAGGUACUCCAGGGGUAGCGGUGAAAUGUUGUAAUCCUUGGAGGACCACCGGUAGCGAAGGCGUCUGACUAGAACGAGUCCGACGGUGAGGGACGAAGCCCUGGGGCGCAAACCGGAUUAGAUACCCGGGUAGUCCAGGGUGUAAACGAUGUGGGCUUUGUAUUGGAGGUCCCACGUGGGCGUCCAGUGCAGAAGAGAAGUUGUUAAGCCCACCGCCUGGGAAGUACGGUCGCAAGGCUGAAACCUGGAGGAAUUGGCGGGGAGCACAGCAACGGGAGGAGCGUGCGGUUU